rnacentral:rRNA from 1 species
AACGAACGCUGGCGGCAUGCCUAACACAUGCAAGUCGAACGAGACCUUCGGGUCUAGUGGCGCACGGGUGCGUAACGCGUGGGAACCUGCCCUUAGGUUCGGAAUAACUCCCCGAAAGGGGUGCUAAUACCGGAUAAUGUCUUCGGACCAAAGAUUUAUCGCCUUUGGAUGGGCCCGCGUUGGAUUAGCUAGUUGGUAGGGUAAAAGCCUACCAAGGCGACGAUCCAUAGCUGGUCUGAGAGGAUGAUCAGCCACACUGGGACUGAGACACGGCCCAGACCCUUAGGGAAGGCAGAGGUGGGGAAAAUUGGACAAGGGGCGAAAGCCUGAUCAAGCAAGGCGGGGGGAGGAAGGAGGGCCUAGGGUUGUAAAGCUCUUUUACCCGGGAUGAUAAUGACAGUACCGGGAGAAUAAGCUCCGGCUAACUCCGUG